CAAUAGCGUAUAUUAAAGUUGUUGCAGUUAAAAAGCUCGUAGUUGGAUUUCUGGUUGAAGCGACCGGUCGGGCGUUGAUUCGUCUGCACUGGAGUCGGUUUUGGCCAUCCUCUAGGAAAGUGCGUCUGGUAUUAAGUUAUCGGGCGUAUGAUCCUGGUCUUUUACUGUGAAAAAAUUAGAGUGUUUAAAGCAGGCCUUCGCCUUGAAUACAUUAGCAUGGAAUAAUAAGAUAGGACUUUGGUCUAUUUUGUUGGUUUGCAGACCGAAGUAAUGAUUAAUAGGGAUAGUUGGGGGUAUUUAUAUUCCGAUGUCAGAGGUGAAAUUCUUAGAUUUUCGGAAGAUAAACUUAUGCGAAAGCAUUUACCAAGGAUGUUUUCAUUAG
rnacentral:rRNA from 1 species